GACGAAGGGGGCUAGCGUUGUUCGGAAUUACUGGGCGUAAAGCGGGUGUAGGUGGUUGUCCAAGUUGGAUGUGAAAGCCUUGAGCUCAACUCAAGAAAUGCAUUCAGGACUGGGCGGCUAGAGGACCGGAGAGGAUAGUGGAAUUCCCAGUGUAGUGGUGAAAUACGUAGAGAUUGGGAAGAACACCAGUGGCGAAGGCGGCUAUCUGGACGGUUUCUGACACUAAGACUCGAAAGCGUGGGGAGCAAACAGG
rnacentral:rRNA from 1 species